rnacentral:lncRNA from 1 species
CGAUAAGGCCCUUCUCGAUUUUCGUUUUGUGUAAUUUUUCCAUUGUUGUGAUCACCAUUUUCUUUUCUACAGGUUGACUGAAGCAAAAAACCCAACCGCAACAUGAGCCGGAGAAGCCAUCGCACCGGAGAGCCCCACCGCUGGUGAGUUUCGAUUUUUCAUAUUUUUUCCGCCCACUGAGGCCCUUUAACAUGUGUGCUCGUAGGAAUCGAUAUAAAAU